rnacentral:rRNA from 1 species
CAACUCGACUGCAUGAAGUCGGAAUCGCUAGUAAUCGCGGAUCAGCAUGCCGCGGUGAAUACGUUCCCGGGCCUUGUACACACCGCCCGUCACACCAUGAGAGUCGGGAACACCCGAAGUCCGUAGCCUAACCGCAAGGGGGCGCGGCCGAAGGUGGGUUCGAUAAUUGGGGUGAAGUCGUAACAAGGUAAC